AAUGGGUCAGCGACUUAUAUUCUGUAGCAAGGUUAACCGAAUAGGGGAGCCGAAGGGAAACCGAGUCUUAACUGGGCGUUAAGUUGCAGGGUAUAGACCCGAAACCCGGUGAUCUAGCCAUGGGCAGGUUGAAGGUUGGGUAACACUAACUGGAGGACCGAACCGACUAAUGUUGAAAAAUUAGCGGAUGACUUGUGGCUGGGGGUGAAAGGCCAAUCAAACCGGGAGAUAGCUGGUUCUCCCCGAAAGCUAUUUAGGUAGCGCCUCGUGAAUUCAUCUCCGGGGGUAGAGCACUGUUUCGGCAAGGGGGUCAUCCCGACUUACCAACCCGAUGCAAACUGCGAAUACCGGAGAAUGUUAUCACGGGAGACACACGGCGGGUGCUAACGUCCGUCGUGAAGAGGGAAACAACCCAGACCGCCAGCUAAGGUCCCAAAGUCAUGGUUAAGUGGGAAACGAUGUGGGAAGGCCCAGACAGCCAGGAUGUUGGCUUAGAAGCAGCCAUCAUUUAAAGAAAGCGUAAUAGCUCACUGGUCGAGUCGGCCUGCGCGGAAGAUGUAACGGGGCUAAACCAUGCACCGAAGCUGCGGCAGCGACGCUUAUGCGUUGUUGGGUAGGGGAGCGUUC
rnacentral:rRNA from 1 species